rnacentral:tRNA from 1 species
GGAGACGUGUCCGAGUGGCCGAAGGAGCGGGAUUGCUAAUCCCGUGUAGGGUUUCCCCUACCGAGGGUUCGAAUCCCUCCGUCUCCGCCA